rnacentral:rRNA from 1 species
GAACGCGAAGAACCUUACCAAGUCUUGACAUCCUUUGACCACUCUAGAGAUAGAGCUUUCCCUUCGGGGACAAAGUGACAGGUGGUGCAUGGUUGUCGUCAGCUCGUGUCGUGAGAUGCUGGGUUAAGUCCCGCAACGAGCGCAACCCUUAUUACUAGUUGCCAGCAUUAAGUUGGGCACUCUAGUGAGACUGCCGGUGACAAACCGGAGGAAGGUGGGGAUGACGUCAAAUCAUCAUGCCCCUUAUGACUUGGGCUACACACGUGCUACAAUGGAUGGUACAACGAGCAGCGAACUCGCGAGGGUAAGCGAAUCUCUUAAAGCCAUUCUCAGUUCGGAUUGUAGGCUGCAACUCGCCUACAUGAAGCCGGAAUCGCUAGUAAUCGCGGAUCAGCACGCCGCGGUGAAUACGUUCCCGGGUCUUGUACACACC